rnacentral:rRNA from 1 species
GCCCCUAAGCCGGAGUUUCGGGAGUUAACCCGUUAAGUCGCCCCCUGGGGGGGUCGGUCCGCAAGGUAAAACCAAAAUGAAUUACCGGGGGCCCGCCCAAGCGGGGGAGAAUGGGGUUUAUUUCGAUGCAACGGGAAGACCUUUACCGGGUYUUGCCAUCCACAGACCUUUGCAGAGAUGGAUUGGUGCCUUCGGGGACUGUGAGACCAGGCUGCAAGGCUGUCGUCAACUCGGGUUGUGAAAUGUUGGGUUAAGUCCCGCAACGAGCGGCACCCUUAUCCUUUAUGCCCAUCGUCCGGCCGGGCACUCAAAGGAGACUGCCAGUGAUAAACUGGAGGAAGGUGGGGAUGACGUCAAGUCAUCAUGCCCCUUACGACCAGGGCUACACACGUGCUACAAUGGCGCAUACAAAGAGAAGCGACCUCGCGAGAGCAAGCGGACCUCAUAAAGUGCGUCGUAGUCCGGAUUGGAGUCUGCAACUCGACUCCAGAAGUCGGAAUCGUUUAGGAAAUCCGGA